ensembl:lncRNA
AUAAUAGUAUUAAUUAUAAUAAUAGUACUAAUUAUAAUAAUAGUUAUUAUAAUUAUGAUGAUAGUGAAGAAGACGAAGAUGAAGUGAACGCAGAGGAGGAAGAAGAAGAUGAUGAUGAUGAGGAAGAUGAAAUGGGAGAAGGAGAAGAAGAAGAAGAGGAUGAAGAAGAGAGAGAAAAAAAAAUAGAUAUUAAUGAAAUAAUACAAAAAUAUAUCUAUGAUGCUGAAAUGGAUUAUUACGAAACAUUUACUAAUAAUCAUGGAUUUUAUCUUUUUGACGAUACAAAUGAUAAUAGUUCUAGUGAGAACAAUGUAAGCAGUAGUAGCAAUGACAUUAAUAAUAACGAUAACGAAAAAGGAGAUAAAAAAAAUGGUGAUAACGACGAUAAUACAAAAAACAAUAAUAAUGGCAAUGUGAACGAUGGAAAUGUGAACGAUGGAAAUGUGAACGAUGGCAAUGUGAACAAUGACAACAUGAACAAUGACAACGUGAACAAUGACAACGUGAACAAUGACAACGUGAACAAUGACAAUGUGAACAAUGACAAUGUGAACGAUAACAACGUGAACGAUAACAACGUGAACGAUAACAACGUGAACGAUAACAACGUGAACGAUGAGAAGGUAAAUAGUGACGUGUGUAACACAAGUGGUAAAGAAAUAGAGUAUGGACGUAAAAAGAAGUUUGUGUAUAAAGAAUGUAACGAGUCCAUAAUCGAAAGAUAUAAAUCAGAAUUAACAGUUUAUAAACAUAAAUAUAAUUUGUAUAGUAUUCACGAAUAUUAUGAUUAUAUUAUGAAAAAUAGAAAUAUAACAUUUAUUAAUUAUGAUAAUGAAUAUAUACUAAAAAUGAAAUAUCAUGAUGGUUAUGGUUUUCCUUUAUGUAAUUUGCAUAUAACAAACGAAAAUAACAUUAACAAUAAUUUUUUGUUUAAUAUGCAUUUGAUUCAUGAAGAAGAUGAAACAAAUACUUUACGUGAUGUUACAAAUUAUGUUGAUCUAAGUAAACUAGAUAUAGAUCCUUUAUUUUUUAAAGAAUAUUAUUUAAAACAUACUUUUUGUAAUGGUGAAUAUUUACCUUCAAGAAGUAGUUUUGUUGAAAAGAUAUGUUUUUUAGCGUAUCAUUUGAAAAAGAUUCCUUUUGUUAGUAAAAUAAAAAUAAAUGCAAAUAAACCUAUCUUAUAUCGUUUAUUUAUAAACAUUUUAGGUGGUUUUAAAAUGUUAUCCGUAAUAAAAUGUAUACAAGAUGUAACUGAUUCUAAUUUAUUAAAUAUUUUAUUUUACCUUAAUGAAGAAAUUGUAAACGAAUCUAAAACAGAGAAAAACUUAGGUAUAUGUUUAAAUAAUAUAAUGGGAAAAAACAAAGAAUGGAAUACUAUUAUAAAUACUGGUUUUCUGAGUUUGUUAGGAUGUAGUUCUUAUUUAAAAGAACAUUAUUAUUUAGAUGAGAAAGAUAAAAAAGAGUUUUUUGGUAAUGAAAAAAUAUUAGAUUUACCAAUAUUUGAUUUUUUAGAUUAUAAUAUAAUGGACUUUUUUAUUCCUAUUCAUUAUGAAACUAAUUUCGAAAUUGACGUAUAUCAUGAUAUAAUAAAUGCAUCUGAUGAAAGGAGACAUUUAUAUAAAACAUGGUAUAUUUGUCAUUUAUUUACACAUAAAGUAUAUUUAUUAAAUAAAAUGUGGGAUGUAAUAAAAAAUUGGAAAACUACAAAUUUUAUACCUAAACCAUGGUAUAUUGAUUAUGUAGGUACUAUACUAAUACCAGAAAUAGUAAAUUUAUAUCAUAUGAAAGAAUAUGAAUAUAUGUUUUUUAGAUAUAUAGAAGAAAGUCAACUGUUUAUGUCUUUAAAAAGAAGUAAACAAUAUCCAAUCAAAGAUUAUGAUAAAAAUACUUAUUACCAUGUUCAACAAAUUGUUGCUUUUCAAGGAACCAGUAACCCAGUUAUGUGGAUUCUAAAUUUAAUUUAUAAUUUAGAACCGUAUCCUUUUUUAACAAAAGGGAAAAUACAUAAAGGAUAUUUAUUUAUUUUUAAUCAUGUAAUAAAACCGUAUCUAUAUAAUUUAAAAAAAAAUAUAUUAAAAGAAAUUAAUGCUCCUAAUUCAAUAUAUACCAAAAAUAAUCCAUAUGUUAUAAUUUUUACUGGUCAUUCACUUGGAGCUGCAGUGGCCCAAAUUAGUUCAUUUUUUUUAGCAAAGAUUUUAAAUGUUAAAAAGAGUAAUAAAAUAAAAAUAUGUAUGGUUUCGUUUGGUAUGCCUUUAUAUAGUGAUCAUAUAUAUACUGAAGAUUUUUUCAAUAGUGGGGUUAUAAAUUAUAGUAUUGUAGUUGAUAAUGAUCCUAUUCCAUUAAUUUUUGGAGCAAAAGAAUUAUUUUCAUGUCCAUACCCACAUUGUCAAACGAAACAUAAUAUAACAUUUAAAGUUGAUCAACUAAAAGUUAUAAACCAUCAUUUCGGUAAUAACAUAUUUAUGGGGGAUGAUUAUUUUAGUCCUGAUAAACCUCAACAAAAUUAUUUGAUACAAUUAUUAAUCAAAUAUUUUUUUAAUAAUAAUAUAUUUUUAGAAUCAGUCGAACAUAAUAUAUCUCAAACACAUUAUUUUUUUUAUUAUAUAUUUUUAACCUUAAUAUCUGGAUGGGCAAAUGAAGCUGAUUGGGGUUCAUAUUUUCUGUCAUCACAUUUUCUCGUUGAUUUAACAGAUUUCUCACACAAAGAAUUAGUGUCUAAAUUAAAAGAAGUAUAUAAAAAAUAUAAAGAAGGUUUAGAAAAAAAAUUACAAUCGAAUUUAAAAAAAAAAACAACACCAAAGUAAACUUUACAUCCUAAACUUGACAAAAAAAAAAUAUACAUAUAAACAUAUAAACAUAUAAGCAUAUAAGAAUAUAAACAUAUAAACAUAUAAGCAUAUAAACAU